GAACGCUAGCUACAGGCUUAACACAUGCAAGUCGAGGGGCAUCAGGAAGAAAGCUUGCUUUCUUUGCUGGCGACCGGCGCACGGGUGAGUAACACGUAUCCAACCUGCCCUUUACUCGGGGAUAGCCUUUCGAAAGAAAGAUUAAUACCCGAUAGCAUAAUGAUUCCGCAUGGUUUCAUUAUUAAAGGAUUCCGGUAAAGGAUGGGGAUGCGUUCCAUUAGGUUGUUGGUGAGGUAACGGCCCACCAAGCCUUCGAUGGAUAGGGGUUCUGAGAGGAAGGUCCCCCACAUUGGAACUGAGACACGGUCCAAACUCCUACGGGAGGCAGCAGUGAGGAAUAUUGGUCAAUGGGCGCUAGCCUGAACCAGCCAAGUAGCGUGAAGGAUGAAGGCUCUAUGGGUCGUAAACUUCUUUUAUAUAAGAAUAAAGUGCAGUAUGUAUACUGUUUUGUAUGUAUUAUAUGAAUAAGGAUCGGCUAACUCCGUGCCAGCAGCCGCGGUGAUACGGAGGAUCCGAGCGUUAUCCGGAUUUAUUGGGUUUAAAGGGAGCGUAGGUGGACUGGUAAGUCAGUUGUGAAAGUUUGCGGCCCAACCGUAAAAUUGCAGUUGAUACUGUCAGUCUUGAGUACAGUAGAGGUGGGCGGAAUUCGUGGUGUAGCGGUGAAAUGCUUAGAUAUCACGAAGAACUCCGAUUGCGAAGGCAGCUCACUGGACUGCAACUGACACUGAUGCUCGAAAGUGUGGGUAUCAAACAGGAUUAGAUACCCUGGUAGUCCACACAGUAAACGAUGAAUACUCGCUGUUUGCGAUAUACAGUAAGCGGCCAAGCGAAAGCAUUAAGUAUUCCACCUGGGGAGUACGCCGGCAACGGUGAAACUCAAAGGAAUUGACGGGGGCCCGCACAAGCGGAGGAACAUGUGGUUUAAUUCGAUGAUACGCGAGGAACCUUACCCGGGCUUAAAUUGCAGUGGAAUGAUGUGGAAACAUGUCAGUGAGCAAUCACCGCUGUGAAGGUGCUGCAUGGUUGUCGUCAGCUCGUGCCGUGAGGUGUCGGCUUAAGUGCCAUAACGAGCGCAACCCUUAUCUUCAGUUACUAACAGGUCAUGCUGAGGACUCUGGAGAGACUGCCGUCGUAAGAUGUGAGGAAGGUGGGGAUGACGUCAAAUCAGCACGGCCCUUACGUCCGGGGCUACACACGUGUUACAAUGGGGGGUACAGAAGGCAGCUACCUGGUGACAGGAUGCUAAUCCCAAAAGCCUCUCUCAGUUCGGAUCGAAGUCUGCAACCCGACUUCGUGAAGCUGGAUUCGCUAGUAAUCGCGCAUCAGCCACGGCGCGGUGAAUACGUUCCCGGGCCUUGUACACACCGCCCGUCAAGCCAUGGGAGCCGGGGGUACCUGAAGUACGUAACCGCAAGGAGCGUCCUAGGGUAAAACUGGUGACUGG
rnacentral:rRNA from 1 species